UACGAAGGGGGCUAGCGUUGUUCGGAAUUACUGGGCGUAAAGCGCACGUAGGCGGAUAUUUAAGUCAGGGGUGAAAUUCCAGAGCUCAACUCUGGAACUGCCUUUGAUACUGGGUAUCUUGAGUAUGGAAGAGGUGAGUGGAAUUCCGAGUGUAGAGGUGAAAUUCGUAGAUAUUCGGAGGAACACCAGUGGCGAAGGCGGCUCACUGGUCCAUUACUGACGCUGAGGUGCGAAAGCGUGGGGAGCAAACAGG
rnacentral:rRNA from 1 species